CCGAUAUUUGAGCGUUGGUUUUCGUGAAGUGUAUCUUUGCGCUGGUUUUUCUUGGGUUGAUAACGCUUGGAAAUUAUUGCGAGUGCUUCUAAACGAAAGAACUAUUGGCGAAAAAUACCAAUCAUAUGAAGUAAUUGCUUCCAUCGCUUUCGUUUUUACUACAUCCCAAUUUGGGAAGAUUGAUAUUGCAGAGUGCUGCGGAGUUGGUGUGAAGCUUGCAUCGCAGUGUGUAACUUAAUAUUGAAGCAGGUUUGGAAAGACUUAUUUGCGACGCAAAACAGAUGGUUCAUGUGCAUUAGUUUUUUGCAAUCGAUUGCAAAUUAUUUUUGCUUUGGUGGCGUAAUAAUAUUGCUGCCCUAAAUAUUCGCGCGGGAAGAACUGCGUUUCUGGACCUUUGGAACAGUGAAUACACUACACCUCUACAUACAACAACAUCAGCCUUUUACCAGCAGCACCACUACAACGAUCGACGCCGCGAGGACCGGGUUUUAUUUGGGAAACUGCUGCAAUAUCACUUGUGUGUGACGAACGCACACCAAUGUAAAGUAAGUGUCGUUUGUUCCAGUUGCCACAUUAUUGCCCGGAUAAUCGCUGCCCUCGGGAGUUUCUGACGAAGUGAAAGUUGCAAUUCCUGCAGUACGAGUGGCUGGCGUAUUGACGUAGGCAGAAAUAGACCCAGAAUGCCUCGCAUUAAGAAAAAAAUGGACGCUUCCGUGUCCGGACCACCGCCACCGAAUUUGUCCGAAAGUCUUACUGCUGGGCGAUCCCGUCGUACGAUUAAGCCGAACCCGAAGUACUUGAACGAUGAAAUGGUUGUUCCGCCAUCCAAGGAUGAGGAAGAUUCGCUUGAGGGAAGCGAUAUGAGUGAAGGCGAUUUCGAGAUAGAUGAGGACGAUUUGGAUCAUUUAAUCGUUCGAAAAUCGGUGCCACCGUCGUCCACCCCGCAGAUGGGUGGUAGCGUGCCGAAGAGACGUGGCCGUCCGCCAAAAAAUCCGGAUGCACCCCGCACGGAACCGGUGAAGAACCUUCGCAAAGAGAUGAUGAAAAAGAUGGACGUAAAGACGAUAAGUAUCAGCAAAUCGAGACACAUGAUGGCACAGAUGAUGCGUGAUGGCAGACGUAAGUUGGAGAUGUCCAUGGAUUCCGUUGAGUCAGAUUCGGCUGAUUAUAUGGAGGAGGAGAAACUGGAUCAAUCUACCGACGACGCCGACGAUAUGCGUCAAUCGCCGCAGAGUAAUACUACGGUGUUUAAGAAGCACCUGGGAGGAAAGACCAUCCUAGAGCGACGAGGUAGUGGCGCUACGAAAAGCACGGUUGGCAUUAAAAUGGCCGCUGGUACUACGGAGGACGACGAGGAUGAUGAUUUUUACAACGACAGCGAUGCUAAGACGAAUCAGGCCGAGCAAGUCGUACCAGCGAAGCGUCCGGUGGGGCGUCCCCGAAAGCAUCCCGUCAAACAGCAAACCUCUCUGUACAAUCGUCGAGUGCUACUUCCGGGUAUGAAGAAUGCGAGCUUCGGGGGUCAAACGUUGAAACGAAAGGUAGCGGCGACUGAUUCCGACUACGAGAGAAAGCACGAGUCGCAGCAGUCCAAGAUGCUGAGGCGAUCAUACGGACUCAAGCAUGUGAAUUCGUCACAAAAUCAAUCGCAAGACACGGAUACCGAUGAAAACGAGGACGCGGAACAAAGCGAUGGUAGCAACAAGCGCAAGGCUCAAUUAAGGGAACGUUCGUUUGCGAUGCUUCCUCGCGGUCCGGGGCGUGUGUCGAAGAAUUCAUACUAUAUGAUGAACAAGAAAAAGCAGAAACUGUUGGAGGAAAGCCGCAUGGGGCGACUCGGUGAUCAAUCGCCUACCAUCACGUAUGUGAGUGUGAAGGAUAUCAUGAAAAAAUCGAAAAGUUCUUCCGACAAUCGGCGCACGGCGGAACAGGAGGAAGACUCGGACGGGGCAUCGGAAAUGGAAGAAGAAAACGUUGGCGAAAACGACGAUUCGACUCAAUCCAAAACUAACAACAAGCUAGUGGCUACCAUAUUGGAAAGGAAGAGACCAAUUGCUAUAGAAAACUUGCAAGACGUCAGAAGACGGGUGCGCCAAAGUGAGCUUCUCAGUCGUAAGAAAAAAGAAGUGACCGACAAGCAGCAACAGCAGCAACGAGUACGGGAUUUGGGAGUAUCGGAAAUUCUUACCGAAGACGACAUCGUAGACUUUGAAGAUAUGCUGCAAAAAAACAUCGUUAGUGCUAACAAAUCUUCGCGCGUGCCACCGGAGCAGACGGUAGUCCGAGGGCGUGGAAGACCCUCGGAAAACUCUCACCCGAACGCCAAAUCCAACCUGUACAAAAGUGUUCGUGUACAGCAGAGACAAAGCGCCGGUGCAGCCAUGGGCCUGAAGCGUUCCUCGCAGCCACCUCGCAUACUGAACGCGACAAUGAAGCUCGGCGAUGGUCGCGCUUUAUCGAAGCUUUCGGCCACCUCCGGCAACAACCAUUACUCAAUCGAUCUGGCAGAUCCGGACAACAACGUGAAACUGAUUUCGUCUCCGGAAAAUUCACCAAACAAACGGCAAACGGCUGGCGUAGCCACUGCGGGAGGAAAUGUUAUGCGUGUGCUAGGAAACACACGGCCUGAAAUGGUGCGCGAUAAUCAGCGCCUGUCGGGAGGAUCCGAAUUUAGGAAAAAAAAGGUUACUUGCUUCGAGCGAUGGUACGUGGUUAAUUGUAGGUUCGCUGAUACUGGCCCUAAAAAGCAAUCCUUCGCACUGUCAAUGAUUGGGCUCGGCAAUAUCGCAGCCAGCAUCAAGCUUCCAUCCGAUGAGUGGUCAUUACGUACCGUGCUCGAAAAACGAAAGACGCCACCAGCCGAAGGGGAUGAAGUUUUCUCUGGCGAAGUACAGGACGAUAUGAUCGCGGAGGACGAAAAGCCGAACUACGAACCGCAUCGCAUCAUGUUCCGACGCAAGGCGCAUUCGCCGGGACGCUUCAACGUGCAGUACGAUCGGACGGUUAUCUUCCGACACGAUUGCUACUCAAUCAACGUUGAUGGCCAAGCCUGCCGGCUGCUUGCGUCACCGGUGAUACUCGAAUCGGUCGAAGAUAUUGAAGUGCUGCUGUCCAUCGUUGACCAUAUCGAUCUGAAGAAUGGGUGCGUCGAGGUUAUACCUUCACUGCGGGGAGCACCCGACUCGAUCGCCAAGCGCACACCUAUGGGAGGCAAAGCUGUUGCUGUGUAAAUACUGGUAAUAAACGACCAUAAGAACAGAUAAGACAAACCGAUGCGAAAAAGAUAAAACAAACUGGCAACUUCGAAGCUUCGGUCGUUAACACCGUGUUUUAACUUGAGCGUCCGGUUGGUUUAAUCUUUUCUGCCCUUGACGGUUUAAUGGAUUGUGCCUGUGCGAUAAAUGUACAUCGAAAGAUGGAGGAAUACAGCAUUGAAGCUUCUUGUAUAUGAUCUAUGAAUUAGUUAUGGCACUACACAACCAGCUGGUAGAUCGAAUAAUGAUUAUUUAGAAUGCAGGUGUAGCACGUACACAUACUAAUUGAUAGCCAACUCGUUUUUUGGAUUUUAUUUCAUACUCUGUUAAAUGACUUUGAUAACUAUA